CAUGUACUCCCUCCGUCCGGAAAUACUUGUCAUCAAAAUGAAUAAAAGGGGAUGUAUUUAGAUGUAUUUUAGUUUUAGAUACAUCCUUUUUUGUCCAUUUUGAUGACAAGUAUUUUCGGACGGAAGAAGUACGUG
rfam:Triticum aestivum genome assembly, contig: Triticum_aestivum_CS42_TGACv1_scaffold_407125_5BL